rnacentral:misc_RNA from 1 species
GAUGAAGAACGCAGCGAAUUGCGAUAAGUAAUGUGAAUUGCAGAUUUUCAGUGAAUCAUCGAAUCUUUGAACGCACAUUGCGCCCGCCAGCACUCUGGCGGGCAUGCCUGUUCGAGCGUCAUUUCAACCAUCAAGCCCCCAGGGGCUUGUGCUGGGGCCCUGCGGCUGCCCGCAGGCCCUGAAAACCAGUGGCGGGCUCGCUAGUCACACCGAGCGCAGUAGCACAUCUCGCUCAGGGCGUGCGGCGGGCUCCUGCCGUGAAACCCCCCACUGUAACCCCAAAGGUUGACCUCGGAUCAGGUAGGAAUACCCGCUGAACUUAAGCAUAUCAAUAAGCGGAGGA